GUCAGUAGCACUCACGGUCUUGUUAAAAUUCUUACUUUAUUAUUCCAAGUUAAAAAAAACAAAACAUUUUUUAACCUGGAAUAAUAAAGUAAGAAUUUUAACAAGACUGUGAGUGCUACUGAC